rnacentral:rRNA from 1 species
UGGGGAAUUUUGCACAAUGGGGGAAACCCUGAUGCAGCGACGCCGCGUGAUUUAGAAGGCCUUCGGGUUGUAAAAAUCUUUUCUAUGGGAAGAAAAUGACAGUACCAUAGGAAUAAGGACCGGCUAAUUACGUGCCAGCAGCCGCGGUAAUACGUAAGGUCCGAGCGUUGUCCGGAAUCAUUGGGCGUAAAGGGUACGUAGGCGGGUAAGCAAGUUAGAAGUGAAAUCCUAUAGCUCAACUAUAGUAAGCUUUUAAAACUGCUCAUCUUGAGGUAUGGAAGGGAAAGUGGAAUUCCUAGUGUAGCGGUGAAAUGCGCAGAUAUUAGGAGGAAUACCGGCGGCGAAGGCGACUUUCUGGCCAUAACCUGACGCUGAGGUACGAAAGCGUGGGUAGCAAACAGG